CUACGGAGGGUGCAAGCGUUAAUCGGAAUUACUGGGCGUAAAGCGCGCGUAGGCGGUUCGGUAAGUUGGAUGUGAAAGCCCAGGGCUCAACCUUGGAACUGCAUUCAAAACUGCCAGGCUAGAGUACGGUAGAGGGGGGUAGAAUUCCACGUGUAGCGGUGAAAUGCGUAGAGAUGUGGAGGAAUACCAGUGGCGAAGGCGGCCCCCUGGAUCGAUACUGACGCUGAGGUGCGAAAGCGUGGGGAGCAAACAGGAUUAGAAACCCUAGUAGUCC
rnacentral:rRNA from 1 species